rnacentral:lncRNA from 1 species
UCAUAAAUAAACAUAUUCCCAACUCCCACAUACAAACCCUCAAUUGAGAUGAGAGAGUUUGGGCAAGAGAAAAAUGAUUUUCUCUCCUCUCAUAAAUUCAUCUCAAAUAACUAUGUUACUAUCCCUCUUACCUCUAAUGAAGCUUGAAAAAAAAUGGAAGCUUGUUGUUCUUCUUUUCUUUCCUUUCCUUUCCUUUCCUUCCUUUCUUUCUUUCUUUCUUUCUUUCUUUCUUUCUUUCCCGUAUCUUCUCUUCUCUUCUCUUGAACU